rnacentral:rRNA from 1 species
AUUGAACGCUGGCGGCAGGCCUCACACAUGCAAAUCGAGCGAGCGGCGGACGGGUUAGUAAUGUAUGGGGACUGCCCGAUAGAGGGGGAUAACUACUGGAAACGGUAGCUAAUACCGCAUACUAUCGGAUAACCCAUAUGGGGUUAGCUAGUUGGUGAGGUAAUGGCUCACCAAGGCGACGAUCGCUAGCUGGUCUGAGAGGAUGAUCAGCCACACACGGACUGAGACACGGCACACGCUCCUACGGAGGCAGCAGGGGGGAAUAUUGAACAAUGGGCGCAAGCCUGAUGCAGCCAUGCAGCGUGUAUGAAGAAGGCCCUAGGGUUGUAAAGUACUUUCAGUCGGGAGGCGUUACCGACAGAAGAAGCACCGGCUAACUCCGUGCCAGCAGCCGCGGAAUAC